AGCAGGCAGAAGGUGUUUAUAGGAAAUUGCUAUGCGAUCAGUCCAGAGAGAGUGAUUGAGAGGUUUCCUGCUCUAAAGUCUAUUGCUUUGAAGGGAAAACCUCAUUUCGCUGACUUCAACCUGGUCCCGCAUGAAUGGGGAGGCUUCGUUUACCCUUGGAUCGAAGCUUUCGCCCGGAACAGGGUCGGCUUGGAGGAGCUCCGGCUAAAGAGGAUGGUGGUUUCCGAUGACAGCUUGGAGUUGCUCUCAAGGUCUUUUGCCAAUUUUAAGUCUUUGGUUCUUGUUAGUUGUGAAGGGUUCACCACUGAUGGGCUAGCUGCUAUUGCUGCUAAUUGUAGGUGUCUUAGAGAGCUGGACUUGCAAGAAAAUGAAGUUGAGGAUCAUAGAGGCCAUUGGCUUAGUUGUUUCCAUGACAGCCAUACAUCUCUUGUAUCACUUAAUUUUGCUUGCCUCAAAGGAG
rnacentral:misc_RNA from 1 species